rnacentral:rRNA from 1 species
GAUGAACGCUAGCGGCAGGCCUAAUACAUGCAAGUCGAGGGGUAGAAGAGGCUUGCUUCUUUGAGACCGGCGCACGGGUGCGUAACGCGUAUGCAACCUACCUUCAUCUGGGGGAUAGCCCGGAGAAAUCCGGAUUUAUACCGCAUAAAAUCACAGGAUGGCAUUAUCCAAUGAUCAAACAUUUAUGGGAUGGAGAUGGGCAUGCGUGUCAUUAGCUAGUUGGCGGGGUAACGGCCCACCAAGGCGACGAUGACUAGGGGAUCUGAGAGGAUGGCCCCCCACACUGGUACUGAGACACGGACCAGACUCCUACGGGAGGCAGCAGUAAGGAAUAUUGGUCAAUGGAGGCAACUCUGAACCAGCCAUGCCGCGUGCAGGAAGACUGCCCUAUGGGUUGUAAACUGCUUUUAUUCGGGAAUAAACCCUAUUACGUGUAAUAAGCUGAAUGUACCGAAGGAAUAAGGAUCGGCUAACUCCGUGCCAGCCGCCGCGGUAA